AAAAACGCCUAACGCAGGCAAAGCCGUGAUAGUCGGGGACUCCAUCGUGAGAGGUACAGACUGGGGUUUCUGCGGCAACAGCCGGGAUUCAAGGAUAUUGUGUUGCCUUCCUGGUGCCAGGAUCCAGGACGUCACAGACCGAUUGCAGAGC